UACGUAGGGGGCUAGCGUUGUCCGGAAUCAUUGGGCGUAGAGAGCGUGUAGGCGGCCCGGUAAGUCCGCUGUAAAAGUCAAAGGCUCAACCUUUGAAUGUCAGUGGAUACUGCCGGGCUAGAGUCCGGAAGAGGCGAGUGGAACUCCUGGUGUAGCGGUGGAAUGCGCAGAUAUCAGGAAGAACACCAACGGCGAAGGCAGCUCGCUAGGACGGUACUGACGCUGAGACGCGAAAGCGUGGGGAGCGAACAGG
rnacentral:rRNA from 1 species